rnacentral:tRNA from 1 species
GAGGGUUUAGCUCAGUGGUAGAGCAUGUGAUUAGCAUUCACAAGGUCCUGGGUUCAAUCCCCAGUACCUCCA